rnacentral:lncRNA from 1 species
UACUAAAGGUCUUUUCAAAGAUACAUCUUCUCAAAUAAACUAUUAAAUGCAUUUUCGCUAUUUUUAGUUUUCAUCAUUCAUCAUAAAGCAAGUUGCCACCAAACGUACUUAAAAAAACAAAAAUGUCACAUCAAAAAACUCAAUUUUUUCUCCUAAAAUUAGUAUAAAAAAUAACAUUGACAAAAUAAUACCAGGCACUUUAAUUGUCAGUGACCCCAUCCAUUCAAGUGUAUCUAACGGCUGAAUGCAACUAUAGCACAGUACCGCAAUUGCACCGUAACCGAACCCCAUUAUGGUGAUGAGAUCCUAUCUCAAAGCUCCACUUAUAUUAAGAUAGAACUAUUUGAAUCUAUUAAUUUCCUUUCAAGCCCUUUUUUUGAUUAAAAUAAUUAUCAAAUUACAACUUCUUAUUUUUUAUUCACUAGUUCUCAAAAAUUAUAAAAUUACCCUUAUCAAUUAUUUUCUUUCUCCAUUGUAACAAUGGUUAAAACAUAAACUGGCUUCUCUUUCUAUCAAUUUUUCUUUAUCUACUCUUUCUUGCUGAAUUAACUUUAUCUUUCUCCUAAUCUCUAUUAUUACAUUAUCAAUUUUUACCUAUUGUUAUCAUUUAGAGUUUGUGCUUAUCUGAGAUUUGACCAAAAAAAAUUCUAAUAGAUUCAGAAUGAUAUAAGAACUUUUAUUUUUGAGUUUAUAUGAUAAGUAUUGAUCAUUUCAUUUUGUUUUAUUACAAUAAGGUUGAAUUUGUUAAUAUUUGAAUAAUUUCAUUUAUUAAAUGCAAAUAUGCAAUACAAUGAGGGUUAAAUGAAUUUCAACGAGUCCACACAAUAUUGGGAUUCAUUAUUAGAGACUAGACUAUUGAUUCCCAAUGGGACGUUGGGAGUAUAACCCAUUCUCGAGAUUGACUAAAUUACCACUACUACUUUUUCAAUUUUUUCAAAACACCCUUUGUACAAUACAAAAAUAUAAAUUAAAAAAAUUGCAAAUCCCUAACUCUAGCCGAUGAACCCAGCACCUUUCUAUUACCUCAAACGGUUAAAUUGAUCUAGGAAUAGGGAUGGUAAAAAUCCCCACGGGGACGGGUACCUUCGGGGAUUUUCCCCAUUCGGAGAGGGUAUGAGGAUAAUUUUAUACCCAAUUUCUUAUUUGGGGAGGGGACGGGGAUGAGGUGGAAUCUCCAUCCCCUACCCAUUUUCCCAUUUUAAUUUUUAAUUUUAUUUU